CAUUAGAUGACUGAAAGCAAGUAAAGGUCUCUUAAAUCUUAUUAUAGUAGUUAGCAAUUACUUCUAAUGA
rnacentral:tRNA from 1 species